CCUACGGGGGGCAGCAGUGGGGAAUAUUGGACAAUGGGGGCAACCCUGAUCCAGCCAUGCCGCGUGUGUGAAGAAGGCCCUCGGGUUGUAAAGCACUUUCAGUGAGGAAGAACGCCUGGUGGUUAAUACCCAUCAGGAAAGACAUCACUCACAGAAGAAGCACCGGCUAACUCCGUGCCAGCAGCCGCGGUAAUACGGAGGGUGCGAGCGUUAAUCGGAAUUACUGGGCGUAAAGCGCGCGUAGGUGGCUUGAUAAGCCGGUUGUGAAAGCCCCGGGCUCAACCUGGGAACGGCAUCCGGAACUGUCAAGCUAGAGUGCAGGAGAGGAAGGUAGAAUUCCCGGUGUAGCGGUGAAAUGCGUAGAGAUCGGGAGGAAUACCAGUGGCGAAGGCGGCCUUCUGGACUGACACUGACACUGAGGUGCGAGAGCGUGGGUAGCAAACAGGAUUAGAUACCCCUGUAGUC
rnacentral:rRNA from 1 species